GACGAACGCUGGCGGCGUGCUUAACACAUGCAAGUCGAACGGAAAGGCCCUGCUUUUGUGGGGUGCUCGAGUGGCGAACGGGUGAGUAACACGUGAGUAACCUGCCCUUGACUUUGGGAUAACUUCAGGAAACUGGGGCUAAUACCGGAUAGGAGCUCCUGCUGCAUGGUGGGGGUUGGAAAGUUUCGGCGGUUGGGGAUGGACUCGCGGCUUAUCAGCUUGUUGGUGGGGUAGUGGCUUACCAAGGCUUUGACGGGUAGCCGGCCUGAGAGGGUGACCGGCCACAUUGGGACUGAGAUACGGCCCAGACUCCUACGGGAGGCAGCAGUAGGGAAUAUUACACAAUGGGCGGAAGCCUGAUGCAGCAACGCCGCGUGCGGGAUGACGGCCUUCGGGUUGUAAACCGCUUUCGCCUGUGACGAAGCGUGAGUGACGGUAAUGGGUAAAGAAGCACCGGCUAACUACGUG
rnacentral:rRNA from 1 species